CAAAACGUAGCUUAACUAAAGCAUUUUGCUUACACCAACACCAUAUCUGUUAAACUCAGAUCGUUUUGA
rnacentral:tRNA from 1 species